rnacentral:misc_RNA from 1 species
GAUGAGAACGUAGUGAAAUGCGAUAAGUAAUGUGAAUUGCAGAAUUCAGUGAAUCAUCGAAUCUUUGAACGCACAUUGCGCCCGCCAGUAUUCUGGCGGGCAUGCCUGUUCGAGCGUCAUUACAACCCUCAGGCCCCCGGGCCUGGCGUUGGGGAUCGGCGGAAGCCCCCUGCGGGCACAACGCCGUCCCCCAAAUACAGUGGCGGUCCCGCCGCAGCUUCCAUUGCGUAGUAGCUAACACCUCGCAACUGGAGAGCGGCGCGGCCACGCCGUAAAACACCCAACUUCUGAAUGUUGACCUCGAAUCAGGUAGGAAUACCCGCUGAACUUAAGCAUAUCAAUAAGCGGAGGA